CCACGCUGGCUGGGCAUCCCUGCAACAUUUUGCCUCCUAAUUGUUCGCUUUCAUUUGCAGAUAAGGUCCUGUUGUGAGUGUGUGCAUAUUUGAGUGAAACCUCAACCCAAGUGAGAAGAAACCUUCAAGGAGCAACUACUGACAGUGAGUCUGCAGUCAUCUCUAUACAUAAUAUGGAAUGUUUUCGACCCAGAGAGAGCUAAGUGGAUGACUGUUGACAAGGAGUGAGUACCUGAGCCAAGACAACAUUUAUACCUUCCUGGUGGUUCAGAAACAAGUCUCUGUAGAACCACAAGCAAAGAAAGGAAACAUUCUGUCUUUUUCUUAAUUAAUUUGACUACAUAAGAUACUUGACUUCCAGGAACUAAAACACAAGGAAGUAUUAAAAUUAUUAUUUGGACAUCAUUGGACAUCCAUCAUACUGAGGAGUGUGCUUUGUGAAGCUUCCCAAGUAGAGAUUUGGAAAUUUCCUUGGUGCUCAUUUAUACUUUGGACUAUAAGCAUGAGUGAGUUCUGGUUGUGUUUCAACUGCUGUAUUGCAGAACAGCCUCAACCUCAUCAAAUCUAAUACCUUGGAGAAUCUAUUACAUGCUGGCUGGCUGGCUGAAUAACAUGCUGGAUGCACACAGGGAAGCCUCGUUGGACAGUCCAUGAUCACCAUGUUACCAGUCCUAAGUCUGUGUGCCAGAUGCUUCAAAAGUCCACAACUCAAACGUCAGAGGUUGAAGUAAGGAAAGUUUAUUGACCGAUGAGAUCCCAGCUGAGAAGAGGGGAGCCUAGUGGUAGCUCACAUUCAUCUUCAGACCGAGUUCAGGCUUCUUUUAUGUCAAGGGAAGGGGAAAUGGGAGGGCCUGUUUUUGGAAUUCCUCUAAUGAUUAACAUGUCUACAUGCAAGACAAAGCAGGCGCUGUUAGCCUGAAGGCCAUGGGACCUACACAGGCUUGAACAAGAUGGAGCCAGAGAGACUGCGAAUUUCCCUGUUACAGCCAGGUAUGAAGGAAGCUAAAAUAAAUGAACUGAGUAAAAGAACUUGGAGGAAAUACAUGCUAACGGGUUGGAAAAGAACUAAAAACAACAUGAAUAUUCCUCAGAUGAUUAAGAUAUUGGACUCAUUAAACAAAAACAAUGUGCAUGUAAAGGAAAGAGAAAGAACAAAUCAGGAGGACAGUGUUCAGAGAUGAUAGAAUAGCUGAAAUGAAGAAGUCCAGUAGAAGGGCUGGAAAGUAAAGAAAUCUUCCAGAAAGUGAAACAAAUUGAGAUAUAGAAAGUACAAGGGAGAAGUUAAAAAAAAAUUAGGUGAUCGAUCCAGGAGUUCAAAAUCUGCCCAAUUAGAAUUCCACAGAGGAGAGAACAGAGCAUUUGAGGAGAAUAAAUUAUCAAAGUAACAAUACAGGGACAACACAAGAGUUUCUUGGUUAAAGGCCUCUUGUUGAAUGAAA